GGCGGACGGGUGAGUAAUGCUUAGGAAUCUGCCUAUUAGUGGGGGACAACAUCUCGAAAGGGAUGCUAAUACCGCAUACGUCCUACGGGAGAAAGCAGGGGACCUUCGGGCCUUGCGCUAAUAGAUGAGCCUAAGUCGGAUUAGCUAGUUGGUGGGGUAAAGGCCUACCAAGGCGACGAUCUGUAGCGGGUCUGAGAGGAUGAUCCGCCACACUGGGACUGAGACACGGCCCAGACUCCUACGGGAGGCAGCAGUGGGGAAUAUUGGACAAUGGGGGGAACCCUGAUCCAGCCAUGCCGCGUGUGUGAAGAAGGCCUUUUGGUUGUAAAGCACUUUAAGCGAGGAGGAGGCUACCGAGAUUAAUACUCUUGGAUAGUGGACGUUACUCGCAGAAUAAGCACCGGCUAACUCUGUGCCAGCAGCCGCGGUAAUACAGAGGGUGCAAGCGUUAAUCGGAUUUACUGGGCGUAAAGCGCGCGUAGGUGGCCAAUUAAGUCAAAUGUGAAAUCCCCGAGCUUAACUUGGGAAUUGCAUUCGAUACUGGUUGGCUAGAGUAUGGGAGAGGAUGGUAGAAUUCCAGGUGUAGCGGUGAAAUGCGUAGAGAUCUGGAGGAAUACCGAUGGCGAAGGCAGCCAUCUGGCCUAAUACUGACACUGAGGUGCGAAAGCAUGGGGAGCAAACAGGAUUAGAUACCCUGGUAGUCCAUGCCGUAAACGAUGUCUACUAGCCGUUGGGGCCUUUGAGGCUUUAGUGGCGCAGCUAACGCGAUAAGUAGACCGCC
rnacentral:rRNA from 9 species